UACAGAGGGCGCGAGCGUUGUCCGGAAUCACUGGGCGUAAAGGGCGCGUAGGUGGCGGCAUAAGGCCGCGGUGAAAGUCUGGGGCUCAACCCCAGAUCGGCCGCGGCGACUGUGUCGCUCGAGCACGGUAGAGGCAGAUGGAAUUCCUGGUGUAGCGGUGGAAUGCGCAGAUAUCAGGAGGAACACCGAUGGCGAAGGCAGUUCUCUGGGCCGUAACUGACGCUGAGGAGCGAAAGCGUGGGGAGCGAACAGG
rnacentral:rRNA from 1 species